GGGCACCAUGCUCUUCGCCCUGGCGCUGGCGUGCGCCGGCCCCUUCUUGGACCCGCGGCCGGAGGGGACCCGACGGACCCUCAACGUGGCCGUGGUCCUCAGCGGCUCUUCCUACGGCCCCCCCGGCCCCCGCCUGACCCCCGCCGCCUUCCGGGACUUCCCCCUGGAGGUCAACCCGGUGGCCGUGGUGUUGAACGACACCAACCCCCGGAGCCUCAUCGUGCGCCUCUGCGACGUCCUCUCCUCGCUGCGCAUCCACGGCGUCGUCUUCGAGGACGACUCGGGCUCGCCGGCGGUGGCGCAGAUCCUCGACUUCCUCUCGGCCCAGACCUCGGUGCCCAUCGUCGGCGUCAACGGCGGCGCCGCCGUCGUGCUCACGCCCAAGGUGUCGGGGUGGUUUUGGGUCGUAGGCGGGGGGCGCGGAGCCGUGUGGCGGCACCAGGAGGGGAUUAGAGGGGGGAUGUUGACCCCCGAGCCAAGCCCAAGCACGGCUAGGGGCAACCCGUCGACCCCCAGCCCAACCCCAAACCUGUCUAGAACCAAAAUGUUGACCCCAACCCAACCCUAAUUGUGCCUGGUGGCAACGCAUUGACCCCCAACCCAACCCCAGUCAUGUCUAGGGCCAAAACAUUGACCCCAACCCAAUCCCAAACACGUCUAGGGCCAAAAUGUUGACCCCAACCCAACCCAACCCAUGUCUAGAGUCAACCCAUUGACCCCAACCCUAAUUGUGUCUAGAGGCAAUCUGUUGACCCCAACCCAACCCCAAACACAUCUAGGGCCAACCCAUCUACCCCAACCUAACCCUAACCACGUCUAGGGCCAACCUGUUGACCUCAAACCGACCCCAACCCAACCCCAAAUACAUCUAGAGCCAAACUGUCGACCCCAACCCAACCCCAACCAUGCCUAGAGACAAAAUAUUGACCCCAACCCAACCCAAACUGUGCCUGGGGCCAACCCAAUGACCCCAAGCAUGCCAAGAGCCAACCCGCCGCCCCCUGUCCCCGCAGGAGAAGGGCUCCACCUUCCUCCAGCUGGGCUCCUCGACAGAGCAGCAGCUCCAGGUGAUCUUCGAGGUGCUGGAGGAGUACGACUGGACGUCCUUCGCCGUCGUCACCACCCUCUUCCCCGGCUACGAGGACUUCGUGGACUACGUGGAGGUGCUGACCGACAGCAGCUUCAUCGGCUGGGAGCACCGCGGCGUCCUCACCCUCAACCUGACCGACGACCCCGAGGGGACGCGGCUGCGGCGCCAGCUCCGCGAGCUCAGCGCCCAGAUCCGGCUCCUCUACUGCUCGCGGGAGGAGGCCGAGGCCAUUUUCCGGGCGGCGCGGGAGGCCGGCCUGGCCGGGCCCGGCUACAUCUGGUUCGUGGUGGGCACCAACCUGGGGGGCAGCGAGGAGCUGCCCGAGGACCUCCCCGCCGGCCUCUUCGCCGUGCUCUCCUCCGGCUGGCGCGACGACCUCCAGCACCGCGUGCGCAACGGCGUGGCCAUCGUGGCCAAGGGGGCCGAGGCCCUGCUGCGGGACUACGGCUUCAUCCCCGAGUUCAACAACGACUGCCGGGCGCCCAACGCCAGCCAGGGCAGCGACGACCUCCACCGGUACUUCACCAACAUCACCUGGGGGCACAGGGACUUCUCCUUCAACGCCGACGGCUUCCUGGUCAACCCCUCGCUCGUGGUCAUCGCGCUCACCAAGGAGCGCAGCUGGGAGGUGGUGAGCGGCGGGGGGGGGGACAGGAGAUUCCACAGCAAUUUGGGGCGUUUUGAGGGGUUUUGCCACCUUUUUUUUUUUUUUUUUUUCUAUCAGUUCUGAUGUUAUUUUAUUUUAUUUAUUUUACUUUAUUUUAUUUUACUUUAUUUUAUUUUACUUUAUUUUAUUUUACUUUAUUCUACUUUAUUUUAUUUUAUUUUAUUUUAUUUUAUUUUAUUUUAUUUUAUUUUAUUUUAUUAUCUUAUUUUGCUAUCUGCGUUUGGGGUCCUGGGGGUUUCUUGGGUUUGGGCAUUUUUAGUUGUUUUUUGACACUUUUUUUUUUGUGUGUGUGUGUUUUUUGCCAUCCAUUUUUGGGGGGUUUGUUGGUUUCUUGUUUUUUUCCAUUUUGGGCGUUUUGUACUUUUUUGCCAUCCAUUGUUUUUCUUGUUUAUUUCUGUGUUUGGUUCAUUUUCUCUUCGCUUUUUUUGCCAUCUGUUUUUUUUUUUUUCCAUCCAUUUUUGUUUGUUUGGCUUUUUUUUGUUUGUUUUGUUUUUGGCUUCUGUUUUUUGAUUUUUUUUCUAUCCUUUUUUUUUCUUGUU
rnacentral:lncRNA from 1 species